rnacentral:rRNA from 1 species
GUCGAGCGGAGUGAUGGUGCUUGCACUAUCACUUAGCGGCGGACGGGUGAGUAAUGCUUAGGAAUCUGCCUAUUAGUGGGGGACAACAUUUCGAAAGGAAUGCUAAUACCGCAUACGUCCUACGGGAGAAAGCAGGGGAUCUUCGGACCUUGCGCUAAUAGAUGAGCCUAAGUCGGAUUAGCUAGUUGGUGGGGUAAAGGCCUACCAAGGCGACGAUCUGUAGCGGGUCUGAGAGGAUGAUCCGCCACACUGGGACUGAGACACGGCCCAGACUCCUACGGGAGGCAGCAGUGGGGAAUAUUGGACAAUGGGCGCAAGCCUGAUCCAGCCAUGCCGCGUGUGUGAAGAAGGCCUUAUGGUUGUAAAGCACUUUAAGCGAGGAGGAGGCUACUUUAGUUAAUACCUAGAGAUAGUGGACGUUACUCGCAGAAUAAGCACCGGCUAACUCUGUGCCAGCAGCCGCGGUAAUACAGAGGGUGCAAGCGUUAAUCGGAUUUACUGGGCGUAAAGCGCGCGUAGGCGGCUAAUUAAGUCAAAUGUGAAAUCCCCGAGCUUAACUUGGGAAUUGCAUUCGAUACUGGUUAGCUAGAGUGUGGGAGAGGAUGGUAGAAUUCCAGGUGUAGCGGUGAAAUGCGUAGAGAUCUGGAGGAAUACCGAUGGCGAAGGCAGCCAUCUGGCCUAACACUGACGCUGAGGUGCGAAAGCAUGGGGAGCAAACAGGAUUAGAUACCCUGGUAGUCCAUGCCGUAAACGAUGUCUACUAGCCGUUGGGGCCUUUGAGGCUUUAGUGGCGCAGCUAACGCGAUAAGUAGACCGCCUGGGGAGUACGGUCGCAAGACUAAAACUCAAAUGAAUUGACGGGGGCCCGCACAAGCGGUGGAGCAUGUGGUUUAAUUCGAUGCAACGCGAAGAACCUUACCUGGGCCUUGACAUAGUAAGAACUUUCCAGAGAUGGAUUGGUGCCUUCGGGAACUUACAUACAGUGCUGCAUGGCUGUCGUCAGCUCGUGUCGUGAGAUGUUGGGGUAGUCCCGCACGAGCGCAACCCUUUUCCUUAUUUGCCAGCGAGUAAUGUCGGAACUUAAGGAAUACUGCCCAGUUGACAAACCUG